CGUUGAGAUCGCAAAGGACAGCGAAGGAGUUCAAAGUUGAAAAAUUGUAAUAGCCCCGCGCCAAUCCGCCAUGCCAUGAUUUGUACAGAGCCGCAUUUUGUUGCACGGAGACGCGUUGACGCUUGAUCGCGUCCAAAAUUGAGGAUUUCGGUAAAUGCCGGAAGCUGUUUCACAGCCGUAGGGUGGCGACUCACGGCGGGGUGUUCCUUUCGCAAAAAAUAUUGCGCGCAUUUUUUCACCGUGACGUCAUCCUCCUGGAUUCGUCGAUUUGCUCCGUCGUUUAAUCGUCAAUCAUCUAUGAGGCAAAAGUUAUGCCGGCUUUAAACCGGCUCGUCUGCGAAGUCACUUCCAGCUACCGCGAAUAAUAACGUGAACAGCUGCGAGAUAAUCGACGAGAGUUAUCCGGUAUCUCGGAAACCGGAGCAGAGAUCGGAAGCGUAUCAAGAAAAUUUGGAGUAAAUUGAAGUAAAUGAUUCCUACGGAGGACAGCAGCGACGGGAACGAUCGCAGAAUGACGCACGAUUGACCGCAAAUUACGGAUUUCACCAGAGGAAUGAGCAGUCCUCGAAAUCAAUUGAGGUCGUGUGGCCCAAGAUAUCUGUCUACCAUAAAUAGCGGAUGCUGCGGCGUCAAUGACGGAGCGAAAUGCGGUACCAACGGAGCC